CCGGGGCUUCUUGUCUUGUGCCAAUAAAAUUUAGGACAUGGAAACAUACAAGGAGUUUAGGAGUGGAGGUUUAAUAGGCAGAAGAAAGAGAAAGAACAGCUGAGAGGGGCUUCCUAAAGGAAAAGACCAGCCAGCAGCGGAUGCGCCGGAUUUUACAGGCAGGCUUGAGGAGGCAGUGUCUGAUUUACCUAUAGCCCACAGACUGCAGGUGUGAUGUUUACAUAGCAUGCGGGGAAGGAUGGCCAUCCAAUCCUAAUCUUAUUAUGCAAAUGAGCUUUCCACUCGACUAGCGCCAUCUUGUCUGCUUCUUACUAUACACGUGGCUGACAAACAGAAGGGAAGAUGGAACCGCCAUUUUGGACAUGAUUGGCACAAGUACUGGCAUCCAUGUCUGCAGCUCGAUUUUACAGACUGCUCUUUAUUAGAAAGGAAAGUUAUUUGGGGCUGCUUUUCAUUAAAAGGAAAACCUUGCCAAGGACUUCUGUACCCUCAAUAUCUGCCUCACUGAUUCCACAGGGAGAAGAUUUCUACUCCCAGCACAUCUUGUCUUCUGGCUUCGUUGCACCAAGGAAGGCUGCGUGCCUUAACCAUCAUCAGAGCAGUAAGUACCUGGUCAGGAGAGCAGGGGCUUGAACUGGCAAUGCUAAGGGAGGCUGUUGAACUCUUGAUCAGCUUGAAGGAUGAAAUUUAUACAUUUGAACUUCUUAGAUUUGGGAGCAGUGGAGUCUAUUGCUGCAUUUUUGUCAACCUCCAGCUUGGGAUGGGCCAGCUCUUAGUGAAAGGUAUCUGGCCCAUUUCUCUCUUAGGUGGGAAAGUUCUAAUCAUCUAGAAUGAUUCAAAGCUUGUGAGAGACUAUAGCUGAUCCUGUUGGUUGGCAAGAGAGCCAUUCUCUACCCUCUUCUCCAUUGUCCCCUAGGUCUCAGGGUCUCAGCAUCUAAACUAGGUAGGCUUGUCAAGGAAUUUCCUCCGGAAUAAAAACAGUCUCAAAAAUAAAAUAAAAUAAAAAUAAAAAAAUAAAAAUCCUAACAUUGAUACAGUUCUUCAUAUGUAUUAAGCAUUAUCCUAAAAAUUUUGCACAUAUCACCUUACUUAAUGCUCAAAACAACCCAAAAUGAUAGACACUCUUAUCACUCCCAUUUUACAGACAGAGAAACUGAGCUCUGUCCUAAGCAUUUUACCUGUAUCAGGCCCUACACACUGAAUGUAUCUGUGCAACCGUGAAUCUGUGGCUGGUGAGGAAGGAAAGCAGGUGCCAUGCACCAUCCACCAUUCUCUUUCAUUACUUCUGUUCCCAGAAAUAGCCAUGUCUGUGUUCUGGCAGUGAUAGAGCGACAGCCAAGUGUCCAUAGGGCAAGCGGCAACUUUUCUACCUGACAAGCCAGUAGAGUAAUCUGGAGUGUUGUUCUUGGCUAAGUGGCUUCCAAACUAUUUUCUCGCCCUCCCAGACAAUCUAUAAGCUCUUGAUAGUUUUUAGAAAAUUCACUUUCAGCCUGUGAUGGUUGAGUGUCAACUUGAUUGGACUGAAGGAUGCAAAGUAUUGUUCCUGGGUGUGUUUGUGAGGGUGUUGCCAAGGGAGAUUAACAUUUGAGUCAGUGGACUCGGAGAGGCAGACCCACAGUCAAUCUAGGUGAGCACCAUCUAAUCAGCUAUCAGUGCAGCUAGGAUAAAAGCAGGCAGAAGAACGUGGGAGGACUAGACUGGCUGAGUCUUCUGGCUUCCAUCUUUCUCCCAUGAUGGAUGCUUCCUGCUCCCGAACAUCGGAUUCCAAGUUCUUCAGCUUUUGGACUCAUGGACUUACACCAGUGGAUUGUCAGGGGCUCUCAGGCCUUUGGCCACAGACUGAAGGCUGCACUGCUGGCUUCCCUACUUUUGAGAUUUUGGGACUCGGACUGGUUUCCUUGCUCCUCAGCUUGCAGACGGCCUAUUGUGGGACUUCACCUUGUGAUCAUGCAAGUCAAUACACCUUAAUAAACUCCCUUUCAUAUAUCUAUCUGUCUUUAGCUCUGUCCCUCUAGAGAACCCUAAUACACAGCCAGAGUGGUGUUCUGUUGUUGCAGCUGAGAGCACAGGCUGAUACAAUGUGUGAAGUACCUUGUACAAUAAACAUUGGUUUUCUCUUUUCUGCAGGCUGGCAUUUUGCAUCAAGUUUUUUUGUUUUUUGUUUUGUUUGUUUGUUUGUUUUGAGACAGCAACUAAAUUUCUAUUGUCCAGGCUGGAGUGCAGUGGCACAAUCUCAGCUCACUGUAGCCUUGAUCUCCUGGGCUCAAGCAAUCCUCUCACCUCAGCCUCUCAAGUAGUUGGGACUACAGGAACAUGCCACCAUGCCUGGUUAAUUUUUGUUUAGUUUUUUUCAGAGAUGAGAUCUCAUUAUGUUGCCCAGGCUGGUCUCGAACUCCUGGGCUCAAGCAAUCCUCCGUUCUCGACCUCCCAAAAUGUUGGGAUUACAGGCACGAGCCACCCUGCCAGGUCUUUUGCAUCAAGUCUUUAAGUGUUGUUUCAUGUUUAUGUCACUUAUUAAGAAUCACACACAAGAUCGUCCUUUGCAGGGACAUGGAUAGGGCUGAAGGCUGUUAUCCUUAACAAACUAAUGCAGGAACAGAAAACCAAAUACCUCAUGUUCUCACUUAUAUGUGGGCGUUAAAUGAUGAGAACACUUGGGACACAGUGAGAAACAACAAACAUUGGGGCUUAUUGGAGCAUGGAGGGUGUGAGGAGGGGGAGGAUCAGGAAAAAUAACUAAUGGGUACUAGGCUUAAUACCUGGGUGAUGAAAUAAUCUGUACAACAAACCCCCAUGACACAAGUUUACCUGUGUAACAAGCCUGCACCUGUAUGCCUGAACUUAAAAGUUUUUUUUAAAAAAAUAAUCACACAUGUUGUUUUCAUUAUGUUAAAUCCUGUGAGGUCUCAAGGUGAGUCUCCUUAAUAGAGAAUAAAAGAUGCGUCAUCACGUGAUUCUCGAAUGUGAGACUCCUACUGAAAAGCAAACAACAUUCUUCUUCAAUGUGUUGAAGAAUAAAGAGGUGUGAGUAAGGAUUUUCAGGUCUUUGUAGACAGUAGCACUGGACUCUUGUUGGCAUCUAUUCCCGCUUAUUCCACCACUGAGACACACCAGGACAGUGACCCAUCCUUUCCCCAGCUACCUAACUCACUCAAUCGUGUAGUGCAGUAGGUAGGAAGUCCUGUUGUCUUCAGCAAUGUGCCACCCACUGAACAUGUCCCUUAGUUCUUUCAAGCCCAGAGACAACUCCUUUUAAAAGAAUUAUUCAGCACAGUUCUUUAUUAUACUUUUAUUGUUUGUUUAAUUCAUUUUUGUCUGUUACAAAUAAAUUUCAAACUAGAGAGUCACAGAUGUUAAUAAACUCGCCCAAUGCAUCACCUGCCUCCGAAUUCCAUAGUUUCCACCGCCUUGCGCUACUUGCAUUCUGAUUAGAGAAUGGUAAUGUGUGCCUCUCUGAAUCAAGUUCAAGAAUAAAAUUUUUAUGUCAUACUUAAAAACUAUCCAGCACAUAUAACAACUUGCCUUUUAAAAACCCACAAAAGCAGUUUUCUGUGCAGUAUGGAAUCUUCCUGAGAAACUUAAGUUACAGAUUUAGGAAUUGUUCUAAGGAGGAAUAAGGCACCAAGAAGUAAGUCGAUGUCGAUGCUGUCCCCCUUGUAUCACAGUGUGCAGACAUGGGUUGAGCUUCUUCCAAACAAGAGCUACAAAAGGCACAGAAAGUUACCAAGGCAAAGCCAAAGAAACAAUGUGUUUUGCCAAAAUAUUUGAUAGCUCUGCCAGUUACAUGAGAGACGUGGACAUGGCACUAAACACGUUGACACAAAUGGUGACUCAGGGCUAAAGUAAGACCUACUGGAUGCUGCAAUUACUGUGGAUUGAGAGACACUGUUGUUGUAACAGGAAAGUAUAUAUACAGUCAUGUGUCGCAUAACCACUUUUCAGCCAAUGAUGGCCCAAACAGUGGACCACAUAUAUGAUGACGGUCUCAUAAGAUUAUAAUACUGCAUGUUUACUGUACCUUUUCUAUGUUUAGAUAUGUUUAGAUACACAAACAUUUACCAUCAGGUUAAAAUUGCCCACAGCAUUUAGUACAGACACACGCUGUACAGGCUUGUAGCCUAGGAGGAAUAGGUGAUACCAUGUAGCCUGGGUGUGUAGUAGGUUAGACCAUCUAGGUUAGUGUAAGUACACUCUAUGAUGUUCACACAAUGACAAAAUCAUCUAAUGAUGCAUUUCUCAGAACAUAUCCCCACUGUUGGCAUAUGAUGUAUGCAGGCUUGUGUGCGUGUGUUUGUGUAUGUAUCAUAUGACUGUAUACAGGCACGUGUGUGUGUGUGGGUGUAUGCAGUCAUAUGCACUUACGUAUGUGUGUGUGUGUCCUUUCAAGUAUUCAGUCUGAAAUCAAAGGACUAUAUUUGAAAAGGUGCCUCAAACAUUAUAAGGUCAAGAACCAUUACAAUAGGAAAAUGGUGAGCCUUAGGAAUUUAGAAAAGGGGCAUUAGGGCCCAGGUCAUUCCCACAGCCUUUGGGUAAGCAUGAUGGUGGGUGAAAGUUGGGAUGGUAAGAGAAUUUUCUACAGCAAAUGAGAAUGGAGUAGGCAGACAGGGAGUAGUAGAUUUACGAGUAAAAUAUGAGGUGUAUGAGCAACCAGUAAUCCAGUAGAGAAGUCACUUAUAGGAAAAGUAAUAUAUAUUGUGAGGGGGUAUUUAUACAUGUAGGUCAGAAAGUCCUUCGGGCCAGAGAUGGCAAAGAUACCCACGUUGGAACUACAGGGGGAAAGGAGGUAGAGAUGAGGCAUUGUGGUAAUGAAGAUAGACACACAAGGUCAUGCACGGAGAAAAGAGCACCCAGCCCCUCACCACCUCUGUGGCUCCCUGGGACCCUCUAAAGCACUGUGCAAAAUCCUUGUGACCACCCUCCCCUAAGGUCUCCACUGGCUCUGAACUUGAACACUCAAAUGAGUCUUCCUAGGGGAAAUUUCAAAAAUUGAUUUCUAAUAUUUUGAUUUCUUGUUUGGAAGGGGAUGUGGCCCAGGCAGCCACUUCAAGGGGUAUCCUGUUGAGCAAGGACUCGAUGAGUCCCGAAAGCAGCAACCAAAGUGGAAAGGAUCUUAAGAGGAAAACAGCAGGUCACCCAGGAGACUGACCGGGCCCCGAUUCUGAAGACAUUCUGCAGGGGGAGCUAAUGGCAACUUGGGGCAAGUCUGAUUCUCACUCAGAACUGGUCCCAAACCCCCAUCCUCAUGUCGAGCCAAGACUAAACUCCCACAAGGAUGUCUGCCAGGGGAGAAGGGGCUAGUGAAGAAUCCCUGGACUGACCAUGGUGGCUACAGCUACAAAGGCUCCUGUGGGAAACUGGAUUGUCAAGCAGGGGAGGAAGAAAGGAACCAACUCUGUUGAGUGCUUGCUUAUUUAGGAAGCUCUGUGCUGGACUCAAUUUUUGCUGUCGUCUUUAGUACUUACCACAUUUUAAGUUUUGUAAUCCUUAUUUGAGUGGCAAGGAAGUUGAAGUUCAGAAAGGUUAGGCAUUUUGUUCAAGAUGACAGCAUGAUGUCAAAAUAUGAAUCCAGAAAUGCCUGACUCCAACAUUUAGGCUAUUUUCAAUAAAUUGUGGUCAUUCCCUGAAGGAGUCUCAAAUUAAUUUAUUAAUCCUUUGUUCAACACAUAUGGUUUAUUUUCUUUAUUUUUGCUUUUAUUGAGACAGGGUCUCAAUCUGUCACUCAGGCCAGAGUGCAGUGGUGUGAUCACAGCUCCCUGCAGCCUCAACCUCCCAAGCUCAAACAAUCCUCCCACCUCAGUCUCCAGAGUAGCUGGGACUACAGGUGCACAACACCAUACCCAGGUAAUUUUUUUGGAGAUAAUGUCUCACUGUUAUUCCCAGGCUGGUGUAAAAACUCCUGAGCUCAGGCGAUCCUCCCGUCUCGGCCUCCCAAAGUGCUGGGGAUACAGGUGUGAGCCACCAUGCCUGGCUUAUGUUUUUUUCAAAACUAGAAAAUCUCCAGAUGUUAAAAACUAGGCACAUAUUUUUAUAUAACAAUGAAUUGAAAGAUAUUUUUAACUGAAGGAUAAUAAAGAGAGGCAUAUCAAAACAUAAGAGCUGCAGCUAAAGCAGAACUCAAGGGAAAAUAUAUCGUCCUAAAAUCUAUGUAUACAAAAAAGAAAACAAGCUGAAGGAUCAGUGAUCUAAACUUCCAUCUCAAGAAGCUGAAUACGUAAAUCUACCCAAAGAAAUCAGAAAGCAUUUCUAUGUUUCCAAUGCUAAAGAGAAGAGCAAAACCCAAUUAAAUAGAAAAAAAUCAAUGAAGCUAAAGCUUAGUUCUUUGAAAAAGUAAUACAAUUGUUAAAGCCCUCAAGCAAGGUUAAUCCAUGAAAAAAGAGAGAAAAUAUAAGCUGCCAGUACCAGCAACAAGUAUAUUUUAACUGUAUACUACAUAUAUAAAACACUGAGCAUGAAGAGGAGGAGGAAGACGGGGGAAGAAAAACAUGUGUUUUGGAGCCAUCCAGAAGAACUAUAUUCCAGAUUCCAUUCUAGUCAAUUUAAUCCAAUAUGCAUUUGUUGGAAGAGAAUAUAAACUACUAUUAGUUUGGUAUGAAAGGCCUAGAAGGAAAAAGCACAUGAAUUUU
rnacentral:lncRNA from 1 species